AGAGGGUGCUGGUCUUGGAGGGUGGGGGAGGGAAGCGGCUGGGGGCUAGGGCCCUGGUGGCACUAAGCCCAGCCGCCCGCAGGAGGUGCUCCGCCGGACACCGCUGUAUGACUUCCACCUGGCCCACGGCGGGAAAAUGGUGGCGUUUGCGGGUUGGAGUCUGCCAGUGCAGUACCGGGACAGUCACACUGACUCGCACCUGCACACACGCCAGCACUGCUCGCUCUUUGACGUGUCUCAUAUGCUGCAGACCAAGAUACUUGGUAGUGACCGGGUGAAGCUGAUGGAGAGUCUAGUGGUUGGAGACAUUGCAGAGCUAAGACCAAACCAGGGGACACUGUCGCUGUUUACCAACGAGGCUGGAGGCAUCUUAGAUGACUUGAUUGUAACCAGUACUUCUGAGGGCCACCUGUAUGUGGUGUCCAACGCUGGCUGCUGGGAGAAAGAUUUGGCCCUCAUGCAGGUAUACCCCCUCUGUGUUCUAGGCACCUUGUCUUCCUUGUUCAUAGAGCAGCAUCCUUGUUAUCCAAGACAGGGUUGGCACAGACAAAGGACCUGGAAAAUGGCUCUUUCAGUGAAUGAACAGCUAUGAGACUCAAGAGCAGGCCCUCUCUGGAGCAUGCCAGGGUUUGGUGGUGGGGGAUUACCAGGCAUGGGGAGGGGGUCUUGGCCCCUCUGGUGUGAGGUGGCAGACCUGGGCUUGGGUCAUCUCUAUCACUUAGUAGCUAUGUGACCUUGUAAGAUGGGAACCAGCCUACUACCUUUUUUUCCUCCCUCCUCCUCCUCCUCUCCACUGUCUUACUACUGUCCAGCUCUGCAGCGUCCAGCCCAUGGUAGCUGCUCAGUAAGUGGCCCCAGAUGCUCUUGUGUUUCUGUCUUUUAGGACAAGGUCAGGGAGCUUCAGAACCAGGGCAGAGAUGUGGGCCUGGAGGUGUUGGAUAAUGCCCUGCUAGCUCUGCAAGGCCCCACUGCAGCCCAGGUACUACAGGCCGGCGUGGCAGAUGACCUGAGGAAACUGCCCUUCAUGACCAGUGCUGUGAUGGAGGUGUUUGGCGUGUCUGGCUGCCGUGUGACCCGCUGUGGCUACACAGGAGAGGAUGGUGUGGAGAUCUCGGUGCCGGUAGCGGGGGCAGUUCACCUGGCAACAGCUCUUCUGAAAAACCCAGAGGUGAAGCUGGCAGGGCUGGCAGCCAGGGACAGCCUGCGCCUGGAGGCAGGCCUCUGCCUGUACGGGAAUGACAUUGAUGAACACACUACACCUGUGGAGGGCAGCCUCAGUUGGACACUGGGGAAGCGCCGCCGAGCUGCUAUGGACUUCCCUGGAGCCAAAGUCAUUGUUCCCCAGCUGAAGGGCAAGGUGCAGCGGAGGCGUGUGGGGUUGAUGUGUGAGGGGGCCCCCAUGCGGGCACACAGUCCCAUCCUGAACAUGGAGGGUACCAAGAUUGGUACUGUGACUAGUGGCUGCCCCUCGCCCUCUCUGAAGAAGAAUGUGGCGAUGGGUUAUGUGCCCUGCGAGUACAGUCGUCCAGGGACAAUGCUGCUGGUAGAGGUGCGGCGGAAGCAGCAGAUGGCUGUAGUCAGCAAGAUGCCCUUUGUGCCCACAAACUACUAUACCCUCAAGUGAAGCUGGCUCAGGGUGGGGCUGUCCCUUCCAGAAGUUUUGCCCCUACAAGGGGUUAGUCAAGAAGCUGAGGCAGAACUCACUGGGGGUGGGCAGUUAAGGUGGAGGCUGAUUCUAAUUGUCUGGCUGAGGGGCCACACCACCUAUUCCCCCCACCUAACUCAUGCCACUCCAGCUUCCUUCAGGACCCUGCUUCUGAGUGACGGACCAGCUCACACAAUGUCUUGUUUCAGUCCAUGAUCCCACUGACCUACUCUUGCCUGCUGGAGGGUAAUGAGAAGCUUUGGUUCUGCCAUCUCUCCCACUCUGCCAGGUGCUGGCUGUGGAGCAAAGGCUCACCUUUGUGGGGAGGAUAAAACCUGCCCAACCUACCUCACCAUGGUUUUUCACAUUGCAAACGGUAAUAACAUGGGCAGUGUGGACUUAGGCUACCCCCUCCAGUUUGCUUUCCGUAAAUGCAAAUUGUCCCUACUGCAAGUCAGGAAUGAUUGCCGACUCACAGUAGGGCUGCUAUGCCUGUGUGUAAACUUGGGGAUGGCUGAGGGAACACAGACUCACUCUUCCGCAUUCCCAAGUUGGUCUAGUGUGCUGCCCAGUAGCAAACCAUGGCAGGCUCACCACCUAUUCUGAGCUCCAGGGCUGUUGUAGGGCAGGGUGGGCUUCCUCCCAGACUUGCCUUACCCUGGGCUGAUCUUUGCCCCUGGUAU
rnacentral:sRNA from 1 species